CGGAUCGGAGUCUGCAACCCGACUCCGUGAAGCUGGAUUCGCUAGUAAUCGCGCAUCAGCCAUGGCGCGGUGAAUACGUUCCCGGGCCUUGUACACACCGCCCGUCAAGCCAUGGGAGCCGGGGGUGCUUGAAGUGCGUCGCCGCGAGGCGCGCCCUAGAGCAAAACCGGUGACUGGGGCUAAGUCGUAACAAGGUACC
rnacentral:rRNA from 1 species